rnacentral:lncRNA from 1 species
UGGAGAGCUGGACAUGUGGAGGCCGACAGGAAGGUGAAGAAGUCAUCUGCGUGCUGUGAGGGUGGCGCACCCCAACUCCAUGGGGACAGAAGGUCCUGCAUUUAGGACCCUUCCAGACCUCACACCUAUGUAUCUCUUCAUCUGGCUGAUUACUUAUAUCCUUUCAAAGACGCUUCUUAGUAAACUGUGCCUCCCUCACAUGGCCAGCGGAGAAGGGCCUUGCCCUACCUCUCAGACUGCAGCCCUGAGCCACUCCUUGGAGGUGAGGAGCACCAUUCACCUGAGCAGCUCCCCGCCCUGGUGUCUGAGAAAUAAAUCUGCCUUCAGUCAUACGGUUCUACCAAUCUGAGCACACGACCACCUGAUAGGGUACUGAGGAUGGCUUCUGACCUGGAGGCAUCAAGGACCUGAAGGCAGUAACCAUUUCAGAGGACAGCCACAUCCCUCAAAUUACAAACAUCUAAAAUGUCCAUUAACUGUUGAGUGGAUAUAUAAAUUCUGAUGUUUUAUAAAAUGGCAUACCCUACAUCAAUGAAGAUGAAUGAAUUACUUCUGCAUAAAACAAUAUACAUGCAUCUAACCAAUAUGACACUGAGUGAAAAAAGACAUCCAUAGAAGAGCACAGCUCACCAUUCAGGAGCAUCACCCUGGUCCAAGCCACCUUCAGCUCUCACCUAGACUAACACAGUUCUUCCUGUCUCCAUGAGCCUCCUCUCCAGUUGCUGUAUUGCAAAUAACAAUCAAAACAGCAUUUAAAAGCAAAACAACAACAGCAAACAAAUGGUAUCUAUCCAGGUCUCACUGCAUUGUCCUCACGGCACUUGGGAGCCAGGGGAACUGACACGUGAUGUUCAUACUUACUGCUAUUCUCGGAGUAACAAAAAAAAAAUUCACUUUCUUCGACCAGGAGACAUCAUGUUUUCUACCAGCAUUCUUGAAACUAUGGCAAGUUAACUAGUUAUCAGGUAAGU